AAGCAGCCAUGCAAAUGGAGUAUCGGAUAUAUCGGAUACGGACAGAUUGCAAGUUACAGCUGAAGGCAGUAUGACAGCUUUAUUGCUGCUGCAUGAGCAACACUAUCUUUGAUUGGAAAACAGGCUGAGGACUUGCAUAAAGUCAAAUGGGGCCUGUGGGUGUUUGGGAAGGCCAGCUAUCAAACAGUUCCCUAUUAUCAUACACUGUGGGAAGGAGUUCUCAUCUUCAUACCCCUGCUCCAGAGAGGUUCACCCUUCAGGACAAUAGGGUGGCCUCAGGAGAAGGACCUCAGUUGGACACAGUGAAAUCCUGCAUUUGCAAUAGCCAUGGAGCCCCUUGUUGGAACAGAUAUAAGAAUCAGUCAUGUCUUUGUCUUGGAGCUCGGCACCUCUUCUGGAGGAGUCCCCUGAUGUGAGAGGGAGACGGCUGAAUACAUAGUGUGAGAACCAUAUGGAUGGGAAGAAGUAACCUAGACCCAAGAUGCAAGUUGAAGGAUUACAAGACAGGAGGCCAAACACCGAAACAGCAUCUGACAAAAGCCUUCUUGAUAUGCAUCGAAUCCUGACCUGGGAUGGAAAGCAAUCUUUGUGAACAUUUUUACAGAAUGAUGUGUAAUAGAUCCAGCAAAGGCUGAAGGCUGGUAAUAGUGACUGAUGUAGUACCAUGGAGAAAAGAAAUCUGAACACUGCUCUCCACGGAGGCUGAGUGAGGAGGGAGGUAGAUAUUGGCAUGCAUAAACCCUUUCAAGACGUCUGCUGAAAUGACCCAUAGGAGCUUGAUGGGCACUGCUGUCUGUGUGCAGACUGCAUGAGGAGGGGAAUUCGCAAACUUAGCUUCUUAAACCAUAACCUUCCACACAGGCAGCUCAAGUAGGUCACUUACUGAGGGGAGCCAGGAAAUGCACAUGCGUGUCUGAUACAAAUCUGUUAGCCUGUCUAGUAACCGGGAGUGGCCAACAGACGUGCAUCCUGGUUUGUCAGAUGUAUUCAUACAUUUUCUGAGAUGUUACAGAUAGAGAGUGAAUAUCAGGGCUUAGAAUCUGACCUUAAAAAGUAGAUGUCUUCUAAGAUUGUAUUCAACUUCCUUGUGAUAAGAAUUAGCUUUCCAUCUUAAUCAGCAUUUGUGACUUGAUUCAGCAAAGCACUGAAAUGUGCUUAAGGCAGUCUCUAUUCAGCAAAACUUUUAACUUUGAAUACAUGCUCCAGGAAUAGAGAUUAAAAUUAAAAGUUGGUUUAUGUGCUUAUCAAAACUAGGUUUCAGCUUUGGGGAAAUCAGUCGUGAUCACUUGGUUCAUAGUGCAAAAUUUCUCUAUUUUUACUGAGGAGGGGACUGGCACAAAAGGUGUCAUUGGAAACCUUGUGAAUUGUUAGCAGGAGAUUUUAGAACCCUUUUUUAAAUAACUAGGGAUACAAGUAGGUAUAAAUUAAGCAAAAGUAUUAGUUUUUAACAUUUGGAUAUAUAAAAAGACUUUUUUUUGAAAGACUAAUAUUUC